rnacentral:rRNA from 1 species
UACAGAGGGUGCAAGCGUUGUUCGGAAUUAUUGGGCGUAAAGGGCGCGUAGGCGGUGCGGUAAGUCUGCAGUGAAAUCUCUGGGCUCAACUCAGAGUCUGCUGUAGAAACUGCCGUGCUUGAGUGUGGGAGAGGUGAGUGGAAUUCCCGGUGUAGCGGUGAAAUGCGUAGAGAUGUGGAGGAACACCAGUGGCGAAGGCGGCUUUCUGGUCUGUAACUGACGCUGAGGCGCGAAAGCGUGGGGAGCAAACAGG